UCCCUCUCAUGGUCACUUCUGGAGAGCUUCCAGUACUCUACCAGUCUCGACUGUGGGAGGAAGAGUCAAGCAGAGGCCUACGCAUUCCAUUCUGAGCUUGGGCAGUGGCUAGUGAAUGGAAGGCAAUCUGCUACAAAU
rfam:Ornithorhynchus anatinus chromosome 12, whole genome shotgun sequence.